rnacentral:rRNA from 1 species
AUGGCUCAGGAUGAACGCUAGCGACAGGCUUAACACAUGCAAGUCGAGGGGCAGCACGGGAGUAGCAAUACGUUGGUGGCGACCGGCGCACGGGUGAGUAACGCGUAUGCAACCUACCUAUCAGAGGGGAAUAACCCGGCGAAAGUCGGACUAAUACCGCAUAAAACAGGGGCACCGCAUGGUGAUAUUUGUUAAAGAAAUUCGCUGAUAGAUGGGCAUGCGUUCCAUUAGGUAGUUGGUGAGGUAACGGCUCACCAAGCCGACGAUGGAUAGGGGAACUGAGAGGUUGGUCCCCCACACUGGUACUGAGACACGGACCAGACUCCUACGGGAGGCAGCAGUGAGGAAUAUUGGUCAAUGGGCGGGAGCCUGAACCAGCCAAGUCGCGUGAAGGAAGAAGGAUCUAUGGUUCGUAAACUUCUUUUGCAGGGGAAUAAAGUGCAGGACGUGUCCUGUUUUGUAUGUACCCUGAGAAUAAGGAUCGGCUAACUCCGUGCCAGCAGCCGC